rnacentral:lncRNA from 1 species
UGAUUUUGGAGCUUCCUUGUGAACUUUAAUUUUUCCUCAAAAAAUGAGGCAUCUUGCUUCCAUGCCUUGGUACUUGAGAAUCCUUAUCAACCAACUUUUGGAGUGAUAUUAGGGAUGAACUGAGAGAAAUUGAAGUUACAGGUAAACACUAGAGAUAUCAAAAUUUUUACAUAUAAAAAAUUGGAACUAAAUGCUUAAAAAAGAUUUUAUAAAUGACAUGAUAUUAAAAAUGGAAUCUCGGUGCACUAAUCUCCCGCUAUGUGCGGAAUCUUAGGGAGGGCCCUACCACAAGGGUCUAUUGUACGCAGCCUUAUCCUGCAUUUCACAAGAGGCUGUUCACUUUUGACUUUGGUUAGUAUGAAAUAAUCAUCUCAUUGUAUUGACAGAUUAAUAACUCUGAGAGAAAUAAAGGCCUACAGAUGCCUCGUGGUUGAAGCUACUUCCACUCAGUAAGGCAUGUGAAGAUAAUUGCAGGAUUGUUGUUUCUUGCUGGACUAGAUUCUAUUUAAGUUAAAGUGCUUUAGUAAUUGCCUUAAAAUGAAUGUUCUAAAAGAACUACAUCUGCAUAAGAAAGGAGGUUUUAUUAUCCACAUUGAAUCUUUUGGAGAACGCAUGCAAGAUAAAUGUCAUUAAAAACCAAAUGUCACCUCUAAAAAUCAUGUAUUACCAAAAACCUCCCAUGCAUGGUCACGGAGUUUAGAAACACAUUAGAGCUCUAUGGAAUAAGUUCCAUAACUCAGUAGAUUUCAUGUCGGAGACGGAAUGAUGAUAAGCUUCUGGGAAGAUUUAUGGCUAGAUUAUUCCCCCCAAGAAAGCAAUAACCUUAACUCAUUAAUAUCUCCUGUAGUGCCAUGGCAGUAAUUAAGGACGUUAGAUUUGACUAUGGCUGGGACAUAACCAGUAGGAGAAGUUGUAGUGAUUGGGAACUUGAUGGAGUAAUCUAUCCUUUUUUUUGAAUUGGUAAAGAUGAUGGUUUGAUAAAUCUUCUUCAGCUCCUCAAUAGUUGUACCAAACUCCCCUCGAUGGCUGGUAUCAAGGUUUUUUCAUCUUACAAAAUAAUCCCCAAAAGAGAAGAAUGAACUUUGGCAGUAUGUACCCACCUUGUGAAUCCCACUAUGAAGUAAUAAUCUUCUCUUGCACCGUAUUUUCACAUUUUAGAUUUUUUUUCUUUAUCGUUAGAUGGAUUAUGCCAAAAUAUAUGUUUGAGCACCAUCGAUGUUGGAACAGAAAUGGCACUCACAAGGCAAUAACUAAUGCAUGGAACUCUAUCCGAGCAUUCAUUAGUUGGUUAAUAUCAAGGGAACAGAAUUUAGGAUUCCUUAAGGCAAAAAGGAAAAUUUAAUUGUUUAAACAUAAGAGUAAUCGUUGGUGUGACUCGGUAGUUAGUUAUUGAUGUUUAACUUUCUGAGUACAUAAAUCAGCAUAAUAAUGUAUCUCUUGUGUGAAAAUACCCUACCAAUAUCUGCUAAUACUGGUUUACACUGGUAAAAUCCUAUUACAUAAAAAAUAAAAUAAAAUUACCCUUUUUAUUACUGGAAGUUGUUCAAAGAACAAGAUCACAUUUAACAGAAUGAAUAGUCUUGUUCUUACCAAACAGUGGUUUGAUUAACUGGUGAUCACUGGUCAAAUGUAAUGUCACAUGGACUGAGAAUAUAUCAGUGGAAGAAUCCAUGCAAGCUUAAUUAAGAGCAGAACACUAUGGAAGCAAUGGAUUCAAUGUUGUCAUUUUUUAGGAUUAAGGCAUAAUUUUUUAUUACAUUAUAUCGGGUCAUGUGUUUUCUUAAGUGUUUUUUGUUUAGUUAGAGAUUUGUACAUCAGUUUAGAAAUACAUCUCAGAUUUAGAGAAGCUCCAGAUUACAGAAACUCUUAGUAGUCUUAAAAGACAACUUAUAGAGUGGUGGAUAAAAUAGCCUGAACAGAGAUAGAGGAUUCAUGUAGUCAACCUCAAAUUACUACAGGAAUGAGGCUUAUUUGAUUGAUUAAUUAAGAGUACAAUGAAGACAACAACCGUAGGAGUUAUUCAACUUGUAGGUAUGCUUCAAGAUUUAAGGUCGGUCUACAAAGGCGUCACUGUUUGCUAUUCUAAUGUUAUUUUGUCAGGUAGAGGGCUAAGAUGUAAACUUGAUGAUGAUUAAGUGUGAGUAAUUGGCUGCUGGUGAUUCCAGUUUUUAGCUCAUCAUUUUCUCCUUAGUCAUACCUCAGUGUAUAUGUUCAACUGCUGCUAAUGCAUUGAUAUUUGUUUGUUUGAGUUUGAAUUUUGAAUUACACAGCAUGUUCUGUCCAAGAGAUAAUGGAUCAAACUCUUCACUUCUUUUUUACUGGUGGUGUGGAUGGACAGAUUUGGCACUACCCACCCCAUUUAAAGUUGUUUCUCAUUGGAUAAUUGCCUUGGUUCUUUUUUUCUUACUUUGGAAAUAACUUGUUACUGGUCUUUGACAUAAAAAAGAAAAUCUAUAUUCAUGAUAACUCAAGUGAAAGAUUCUUAUUUCUGUUAGAAAAAGAUAAAGAGAAAACUGAAAUUUGUUGUUUGUUUUUCUUAGGGAGUGUUAACUGGAAUUAAUCUAGUCCUUUUUCUAGUUGAAAAUCUAAAAUAUUCUUCUAAAAAUGUUCUUUUAUAGCUUCAGGUUAUGGUUCUUUCCCAAUAGCGAAGGAGCUAAAUCACACCCUUUAACCUAGCCUUGUGUGAAAAAGUUGAAAAUUUUAUGGAGAAUUACUAGUAUCGAUAGCCUAAGUUAUUGGAUAUUGGAUUGAGAUAGAUCUAAAUGGAGGAACAUGGAUAUUGGAGAUUCAUAUAGCCGAUUCCACAAGCUUAAGGUUGAGACAUAGUAGUAGUGAUAGUUGUUAUUGUAUCUUACAUGUGCUUUGUAUCUUCAAUUUAUUCCUUAUUUCCUUUAUAUAAUCUGCAAAGUAACCUUUAUAUGCUACAACUGGCUUAGGUAACCAUAUGUUUUUGAUGUAUUAGUUGAUUGUGCCAUUGAAUUUUUUGUUUUAAUUUAGGAACUAUUUUUUGAAUUCAAAUAAUGGUUGUUGACAGUCCUAUGGUUUCUUUGAUCUCAUAAAUUUAGACUACCCGUACUUCUUUUUGUAGGAUAGUCAAUUCUACAAGAUAGGCCUUUAUGUUUCAUAGUGAGGAGCACUACUUCUGGCCUAGUAGAUCUUGCAUGUAUUUUAGAAACCAUUGCCAUCCUUUUCACGAGAGGUAAUAAAUCUGUAUUCAUCAUUGCAUCAUAUAACUGUGGUCGGGGUUAUGUCUUUGCUCAUGUUUGAUGCUUGUACAUUGUCAUGUAGUUGAGGUUCUUUCUGUGCUCAAUGCAUUGAUGUUUUUACAUUUUGAUUAAUAGGUGCUGAAUCAACUUAGCUUUGCUCUUGAAACACACUUUCUGAUGAAAGAGACAUAGAAAAAAGCAAAAAAGAUCAUGGCAUAUUCUAUCUCUAGCUCACAAAAUUAGAAUACAAACGUCAUUGUUCAAGGCAUCGGUGUACUGAAAACUAUCGUGACAUAAUGAAGAAGUCUUUUGGAUCAGAUUUCCCAAAUUCACAAGGCAGCUAUGAGCUAUUAUGUGAAAGUAUACAUGUCAAAGACAGCUCCAGCACCCUGGAAAGUAGUAUCAAACUUCAAUGAGAGUGCAACAUUUUUGAGUUUUGAACAAUUGUGAUGUUUGUACCUUUUACAUUUGAUUUUUGAAUUCAUUGCAUGUGCACAUCUUUAAUUUUUUUUUUAGUAUGUGUACUAUAAGACGUGUUCUUUUAAGGUUAAUGAAAAUCUAUACAUUUGAAUAUUUAUUUUGAGUUAUUUAUUAGUUAAUUUAGUGUGUGAGAUCAUGUAAACAACAUAAUAAUGUAUAAUUGUGAUUAGUGAAUAUUGAAAAAUCAAAUUAUUAUAUUUAAAUAAUAUUUUAUAGUCUAAACAGUAAUGCCACACUUUAAAAGUGUGCCUAUAUGGAUGUCAAUGUGUGGUUGUACGCUAAGAAAGGUAACAUUUCACGAAUAAUGGUUUAGAGGAUGUGGCAUCGGCUAUACUUUAGAGGUGUGACCUAAGAUAACAAAGGCCACACUUACAAAGUGUAAUUUAAGAUCAUACAAAGUGUUGUCAAAUGAAAUGUAAUAAAGCGUGGCUUUUGUACCUCAUUGGCCAUGCUUUUUAAGUGUAGUUGCUAUGGCAACACUUAAAAGCGUGGCCUAAAUUUAAAGGUUACGCCUUUUUAGUACCCCAAAAAGUGUUGCCUAAAGUCAUAAAGUGUAAUCUUUUAUCGAAGGCCUCAUUUUUUCUAGUUUAGGCCACACUUUACAUAGGUGGCCUUAAGCCUGAAAUGUUGUACUGCGGUAUGGAUUGCAUACACUUAAACUUUUUCACACACUACUUUGUAGGAAUACACUGAGUUUUUUUUUGCUAUUGAUGUUAUUGUUGUUGUCAUGUUCAAUCAAGGAAAUUUAAUUAUCUCCAUUAAAUUUUUACACUUUUACUAUUACUAGGUUCUUAAAAUGGUUUAUGUAUUUAAUAUAAAUCUCAAAAAAUUAUAAUCAUAGUCAAGUUAGUGUUCCUUAUAAAUGAACUCACUUGAAACUAAAUUGAGAAUGAUUAAGUUAUCUUCAGCUUCUCAGCAGUUGGCAUUGUCAUACCUUUAGAUGUGAACUAACGAUUGUGUCAUCUGGAGACAUCAUAAUUCAGUAAUUUGAGUUUUGAAAACUCUCCAUCAGUCAUCUCAUCACCAAAAAAUUCUGAAAAUAGAGAUAAGAAAAAGAUGUUAAUUUCAUUGACAUACCUCGUUGACGAAAGAUAUAAAUAUUUUGCACAACACACUCUUUCUCAAAUGUUAUGCAUAUAUAAUUAUAUGUUUUAUCUUUUUAUGUUUUAGUAUACUUUAAUGAUUCUUCUCCUAUUGUAAUUUUCCCCUUAAAUAAUCUCAACUUUGAUUACAAUAAUUGAAAAUAAAAAAUAUCUAGCUUUUUCUAGAGCAAGAUGAGUCCUAGGAUUCUUUAAGUACAAAAGUAAAAAAGAGUAGAGGAAAAAUAAUUAGGCAUAGAUAAUAAAGAGAUUAACCAACAACAACAAAAACAUACUCAAUAUGUUUUCAUCAUAAUAAGGUGAUUAAAAAGAAGAAAUCAAUUAUGCACAACAAACAUAAAUAGUACCUGAUUCACCAAAUUUAAAGCACUGAUCGGGGUCAACAAUGAAA